AUGGCGCUCCUCCAGUGCACCCGGCCUGUGUCUGCGGCGGCACCGAUGACGGCUGUCGCCACCUCCGUGCCAGGUGCCGGCUCCACGCCCCCAGCACCGCCGCCUCUCACCGCUGCUGCGCUCGCUGCGGCAGCCCUUGCCUCCCGCAAGGCCGCCCCAACCGCUGGUGGCCGUUUCUCCCAAGCUGGCGACCUCCCUGCCCUGCAGCAAUCCUCGUCUGAUGCUCGGCCCGAUUUGGUUCAGGAGCAAGCUGCGCUGGGCCGGCUCGUCCUAGUUGGUGGCGUUUCCAUGGAGGUGCCGCCAGGCAAGUCCGCUGCUCCGGCUCUGUCGGCCGCUUUUGUCUCGGCAUCGCGUGGUCUUGACUGCAAUGGUAUGAGCUCCGAUGUGGAUGUAGAUGUGGAGAUGGUGCUGCAGACGCCGCUGGCCUCGGCUAGUGCAGACUAG
rnacentral:rRNA from 1 species